ACUUUAAUUGAAGAGUUUGAUCAUGGCUCAGAUUGAACGCUGGCGGCAGGCCUAACACAUGCAAGUCGGGCGGCAGCGGGAAGAAGCUUGCUUCUUUGCCGGCGAGCGGCGGACGGGUGAGUAAUGUCUGGGGAUCUGCCCGAUGGAGGGGGAUAACCACUGGAAACGGUGGCUAAUACCGCAUAACCUCGAGAGAGCAAAGUGGGGGACCUUCGGGCCUCACACCAUCGGAUGAACCCAGAUGGGAUUAGCUAGUAGGUGGGGUAAUGGCUCACCUAGGCGACGAUCCCUAGCUGGUCUGAGAGGAUGACCAGCCACACUGGGACUGAGACACGGCCCAGACUCCUACGGGAGGCAGCAGUGGGGAAUAUUG
rnacentral:rRNA from 1 species